rnacentral:RNase_P_RNA from 1 species
ACGAUCUGCCGCGCCGUCAUUCCCGGCUUGACCGGGAAUCCCGGUGAGGAAAGUCCGCACAUGGCAGGGCGCCUGGCUGUGGAAAGCACAGAAGGGAGCAAUCUUUUCCGUCCGUAACAGAGAAUGACCGCCCGCAAGGGUAAGGGUGAAAACGCGGGGUAAGAGCCCACGACGGAUGUCAGCGAUGCCGUCCGGGUACGGAGACAAGGCCUGCAAGACCAAAUAUACUGACAGAUGAGGGCUGCCCGCCCGAUGUCAGGGGGUAGGUUGCGAAGAUAAAUGGCAGAUUCAAAAACAGAAACCGGCUUACGGCCCCGCCUUGUUU